AGUGGAUGUUAGCUCAGAAUCAGACUCAGAUUCUGAAAUUUUUGUUACAAGUAGGAGCACAAUUGAAUUCAAUCAGGCUGACACUGUGAGAUGCAUCCAAACAGUCAUCAACGAUUCAAGCUGGACAGAUAGUAAUAUCUGAUACUGAGGAUACUCUACCUGAAUACAAUGUGACUAAGUCCACCUACUACA